GUUCUGGAAGCUGAUCCUCCAGGCCCUGGCAGGCCAUCAGGAGCCAAUAGCCCUCUGGGAGGCUGAGCCACAGCGACUCCUAGACCACCCCUGGACUCCUGGCCCUCAGAAACUACGGGAUAGUUUGGGGUUAAUUCAUUAUGCAGCAACAGUAAAGAGGCUCCGACAAUGCACUGGGGCAGGGGUCACAAAGGACUCCCUGGAGACGGUGACAGGGCUGUGAUUUGCUCUCCCCACGACAUUACAGCAAAUGUCCCUCCCUGUAUUGCUUCUCCAACCCCCUCAAAACACCUUCUCCUUUCAAUCUCGUCCCUCUACACCUUCUUGUCCUCAUCCUUCUUCUCCUCCCCAUUCUCUCUCUCUCUCUGUCUCCCCUUUUCUCUUCCCAAUCAGAGAGCAAUGGGAAGAGUUGUGUAAACUACUCUGGAUCUUCCAACUAAAAGGAUGGAUCCACAGCUCUAAACAUCUUUGGCCAAGAAGAAAACUUGCUGACAGAGCCAGGCUGAGUAGCUGAAAACACAGAAGUAAAGCUUAUUUGUCUCACUCUUCACAAAGUUUGCAUUUUGACAUUUUGGUAAAAUUGCUUACAGAAUUGUCCAUUCUACUUAGAAUUCAUUUGGGCUCAACUGUUCACCAACUGGACCUCUCCAAGGGCUGCUUGAGUGUCCUCACAAAGCGGCAUCGGGAUUCACCUGGAAGAUUCUUUCUCUGAGAGAGCAACAGUUAUGAAAGACAGGAUGUAGUUUGUAGUUUAAGUAAUAAUUAGAUUUUAAAUUUAUUUAUUCCUGUUACACAAAUAAAGCAUUUUAGGGGGGGGGGGGUGGUGGCUAGGUGGCUCAGUUGGUUAGGUGUCUGCCUUCAGCUCAGGUCAUAAUCUCCAGGUCCAGGACCGAGCCCCACAUCGGGCUCCCUGCUCAGAGGGGAGCCUGCUUCUCCCUCUCCCUCGGCCUGCCACUCCCUCUGCUUGUGCGCUCUCUCUCUCUCUCUCUCUGUCAAGUAAAUAAAUAAAAUAUAUAUUUUUUUAAAAAGCAUUUUAAUUGCCUCUUCCUUUGGGCACAGGUGGAGGUGGAAGUUUCUCUCAGUAAUCAGACUUAUGAU
rnacentral:lncRNA from 1 species